rnacentral:rRNA from 1 species
GUGUCAGCAGCCGCGGUAAUACGGAGGGUGCGAGCGUUAAUCGGAAUUACUGGGCGUAAAGCGCAUGCAGGUGGUUAGUUAAGUCAGAUGUGAAAGCCCGGGGCUCAACCUCGGAAUUGCAUUUGAAACUGGCUGACUAGAGUACUGUAGAGGGGGGUAGAAUUUCAGGUGUAGCGGUGAAAUGCGUAGAGAUCUGAAGGAGUACCGGUGGCGAAGGCGGCCCCCUGGACAGAUACUGACACUCAGAUGCGAAAGCGUGGG